AACGAACGCUGGCGGCAGGCCUAACACAUGCAAGUCGAGCGAUCCUUCGGGAUAGCGGCGGACGGGUGAGUAACGCGUGGGAAUAUGCCCUUCACUACGGAAUAGCCCAGGGAAACUUGGAUUAAUACCGUAUACGCCCUUUUGGGGAAAGAUUUAUCGGUGAAGGAUUAGCCCGCGUUGGAUUAGGUAGUUGGUGGGGUAAUGGCCUACCAAGCCUACGAUCCAUAGCUGGUUUGAGAGGAUGAUCAGCCACACUGGGACUGAGACACGGCCCAGACUCCUACGGGAGGCAGCAGUGGGGAAUCUUAGACAAUGGGGGCAACCCUGAUCUAGCCAUGCCGCGUGAGUGAUGAAGGCCUUAGGGUUGUAAAGCUCUUUCGUCGAGUGCGCGAUCAUGACAGGACUCGAGGAAGAAGCCCCGGCUAACUCCGUGCCAGCCGCCGCAGUAAAAC
rnacentral:rRNA from 1 species